rnacentral:rRNA from 1 species
AUUGAACGCUGGCGGCAGGCCUAACACAUGCAAGUCGAGCGAGCGGCGGACGGGUGAGUAAUGUAUGGGGACUGCCCGAUAGAGGGGGAUAACUACUGGAAACGGUAGCUAAUACCGCAUACUAUCGGAUAACCCAUAUGGGAUUAGCUAGUAGGUGAGGUAAUGGCUCACCUAGGCGACGAUCCCUAGCUGGUCUGAGAGGAUGAUCAGCAACACGGGGACUGAGACACGGCCCAGACCCCUCCGGAGGCAGCAGGGGGGAAUAUUGCACAAUGGGCGAAAGCCUGAGGCAGCCAUGCCGGGUGUAUGAAGAAGGCCCGAGGGUUGUAAAGUAUUUUCAGUGGGGAGGCGUUACCGAAAGAAGAAGCCCCGGCUAACUCCGUGCCAGCAGCCGCGGUAAUAC